rnacentral:rRNA from 1 species
AUGCACGCUGGCGGCGUGCCUAAUACCUGCAAGUCGAGCGAACAGACGAGGAGCUUGCUCCUCUGACGUUGGCGGCGGACGGGUGAGUAACACGUGGAUAACCUACCUAUAAGACUGGGAUAACUUCGGGAAACCGGAGCUAAUACCGGAUAAUAUAUUUAACCGCAUGGUUCCAUAGUUAAAUACGGUUUUGCUGUCACUUAUAGAUUGAUCCGCGCCGCAUUAGCUAGUUGGUAAGGUAACGGCUUACCAAGGCAACGAUGCGUAGCCGACCUGAGAGGGUGAUCGGACACACUGGAACUGAGACACGGUACAGACGCCUACGGGAGGCAGCAGUAGGGAAUCUUCCGCAAUGGGCGAAAGCAUGACGGAGCAACGCCGCGUGAGUGAUGAAGGUCUUCGGAUCGUAAAACUCUGUUAUUAGGGAAGAACAAAUGUGUAAGUAACUAUGCACGUCUUGACGGUACCUAAUCAGAAAGCCACGGCUAACUACGUG